UACGGGGGGGAGCAAGCGUUGUUCGGAUUUACUGGGCGUAAAGGGCGCGUAGGCGGUCAGCACAAGUCAGUUGUGAAAUCUCCGGGCUUAACUCGGAAAGGUCAACUGAUACUGUGCGACUAGAGUGCGGAAGGGGCAACUGGAAUUCUCGGUGUAGCGGUGAAUGACGUAGAUAUCGAGAGGAACACCUGCGGCGAAGGCGGGUUGCUGGG
rnacentral:rRNA from 1 species